AGCGUACACGGUGGAUGCCCUGGCAGUCAGAGGCGAUGAAGGGCGUGCUAAUCUGCGAUAAGCGCCGGUAAGGUGAUAUGAACCGUUAUAACCGGCGAUACCCGAAUGGGGAAACCCAGUGUGAUUCGUCACACUAUCAUUAACUGAAUCCAUAGGUUAAUGAGGCGAACCGGGGGAACUGAAACAUCUAAGUACCCCGAGGAAAAGAAAUCAACCGAGAUUCCCCCAGUAGCGGCGAGCGAACGGGGAGGAGCCCAGAGCCUGAAUCAGCAUGUGUGUUAGUGGAAGCGUCUGGAAAGGCGCGCGAUACAGGGUGACAGCCCCGUACACAAAAGCGCAUGUGCUGUGAGCUCGAUGAGUAGGGCGGGACACGUGGUAUCCUGUCUGAAUAUGGGGGGACCAUCCUCCAAGGCUAAAUACUCCUGACUGACCGAUAGUGAACCAGUACCGUGAGGGAAAGGCGAAAAGAACCCCGGCGAGGGGAGUGAAAAAGAACCUGAAACCGUGUACGUACAAGCAGUGGGAGCACAGGUUUACCUGUGUGACUGCGUACCUUUUGUAUAAUGGGUCAGCGACUUAUAUUCUGUAGCAAGGUUAACCGUAUAGGGGAGCCGCAGGGAAACCGAGUCUUAAUUGGGCGUUAAGUUGCAGGGUAUAGACCCGAAACCCGGUGAUCUAGCCAUGGGCAGGUUGAAGGUUGGGUAACACUAACUGGAGGACCGAACCGACUAAUGUUGAAAAAUUAGCGGAUGACCUGUGGCUGGGGGUGAAAGGCCAAUCAAACCGGGAGAUAGCUGGUUCUCCCCGAAAGCUAUUUAGGUAGCGCCUCGUGAAUUCAUCUCCGGGGGUAGAGCACUGUUUCGGCUAGGGGGCCAUCCCGGCUUACCAACCCGAUGCAAACUGCGAAUACCGGAGAAUGUUAUCACGGGAGACACACGGCGGGUGCUAACGUCCGUCGUGAAGAGGGAAACAACCCAGACCGCCAGCUAAGGUCCCAAAGUCAUGGUUAAGUGGGAAACGAUGUGGGAAGGCCCAGACAGCCAGGAUGUUGGCUUAGAAGCAGCCAUCAUUUAAAGAAAGCGUAAUAGCUCACUGGUCGAGUCGGCCUGCGCGGAAGAUGUAACGGGGCUAAACCAUGCACCGAAGCUGCGGCAGCGAACGUAUCACUUAAAGCGAUUCAGCGGGUUACGAUUGACGGAGCGAAGCGACGUCAAAGCGUAUACAAAGUCGAGUCGGUUUAAGGAUACGUUCGUUGGGUAGGGGAGCGUUCUGUAAGCCUGUGAAGGUGGCCUGUGAGGGUUGCUGGAGGUAUCAGAAGUGCGAAUGCUGACAUAAGUAACGAUAAAGCGGGUGAAAAGCCCGCUCGCCGGAAGACCAAGGGUUCCUGUCCAACGUUAAUCGGGGCAGGGUGAGUCGACCCCUAAGGCGAGGCCGAAAGGCGUAGUCGAUGGGAAACGGGUUAAUAUUCCCGUACUUGGUGUUACUGCGAAGGGGGGACGGAGAAGGCUAUGUUGGCCGGGCGACGGUUGUCCCGGUUUAAGCGUGUAGGUGUGUGUUCCAGGUAAAUCCGGUUCACUUUAACACUGAGGCGUGAUGACGAGGCACUACGGUGCUGAAGCAACAAAUGCCCUGCUUCCAGGAAAAGCCUCUAAGCAUCAGGUAACAUCAAAUCGUACCCCAAACCGACACAGGUGGUCAGGUAGAGAAUACCAAGGCGCUUGAGAGAACUCGGGUGAAGGAACUAGGCAAAAUGGUGCCGUAACUUCGGGAGAAGGCACGCUGACAUGUAGGUGAAGUGAUUUACUCAUGGAGCUGAAGUCAGUCGAAGAUACCAGCUGGCUGCAACUGUUUAUUAAAAACACAGCACUGUGCAAACACGAAAGUGGACGUAUACGGUGUGACGCCUGCCCGGUGCCGGAAGGUUAAUUGAUGGGGUCAGCGCAAGCGAAGCUCCUGAUCGAAGCCCCGGUAAACGGCGGCCGUAACUAUAACGGUCCUAAGGUAGCGAAAUUCCUUGUCGGGUAAGUUCCGACCUGCACGAAUGGCGUAAUGAUGGCCAGGCUGUCUCCACCCGAGACUCAGUGAAAUUGAACUCGCUGUGAAGAUGCAGUGUACCCGCGGCAAGACGGAAAGACCCCGUGAACCUUUACUAUAGCUUGACACUGAACAUUGAGCCUUGAUGUGUAGGAUAGGUGGGAGGCUUUGAAGUGUGGACGCCAGUCUGCAUGGAGCCGACCUUGAAAUACCACCCUUUAAUGUUUGAUGUUCUAACGUGGACCCGUAAUCCGGGUUGCGGACAGUGUCUGGUGGGUAGUUUGACUGGGGCGGUCUCCUCCUAAAGAGUAACGGAGGAGCACGAAGGUUGGCUAAUCCUGGUCGGACAUCAGGAGGUUAGUGCAAUGGCAUAAGCCAGCUUGACUGCGAGCGUGACGGCGCGAGCAGGUGCGAAAGCAGGUCAUAGUGAUCCGGUGGUUCUGAAUGGAAGGGCCAUCGCUCAACGGAUAAAAGGUACUCCGGGGAUAACAGGCUGAUACCGCCCAAGAGUUCAUAUCGACGGCGGUGUUUGGCACCUCGAUGUCGGCUCAUCACAUCCUGGGGCUGAAGUAGGUCCCAAGGGUAUGGCUGUUCGCCAUUUAAAGUGGUACGCGAGCUGGGUUUAGAACGUCGUGAGACAGUUCGGUCCCUAUCUGCCGUGGGCGCUGGAGAACUGAGGGGGGCUGCUCCUAGUACGAGAGGACCGGAGUGGACGCAUCACUGGUGUUCGGGUUGUCAUGCCAAUGGCACUGCCCGGUAGCUAAAUGCGGAAGAGAUAAGUGCUGAAAGCAUCUAAGCACGAAACUUGCCCCGAGAUGAGUUCU
rnacentral:rRNA from 1 species